UACAGAGGGGGCAAGCGUUGUUCGGAAUUACUGGGCGUAAAGGGCUCGUAGGCGGCCAACUAAGUCAGACGUGAAAUCCCCAGGCUCAACCUGGGAACUGCGUCCGAUACUGGAUGGCUUGAAUCCGGGAGAGGGAUGCAGAAUUCCAGGUGUAGCGGUGAAAUGCGUAGAUAUCUGGAGGAAUACCGGUGGCGAAGGCGGCAUCCUGGACCGGCAUUGACGCUGAGGAGCGAAAGCCAGGGGAGCAAACGGG
rnacentral:rRNA from 1 species